CCUUGUCUUUCACAUAGUGGAGCUCCUCCCCCAUCCCUGAAUUGUGAUAUUGGGUCCAGCACUAGUGCGAGUAUGAGCACCAGAUUGAGUACCUUGGCACUUUGAUGUGGAGCGUGGUUCUGCGGCAGGUUGGCACAAAUGCUCAGAUGCGAAUUGCCCUGAAGUGGCUGGCAGCAAUGCUGGUCACAUCAUGGCAAAAGGGGUUCCUAUAUGAGCUUGGUGUACAUGCUGUGCUGAAACUGAUGUCGAGCCUCGACAUAGCAAUUCAGGACAAGAUGUGAGCAGAGCAACCAUGGUUGUAUUCAAUCCUUUCUAUCUCAUGUUUCUGGCGUGCCUUGAAAUCGUGGUAAGAUGCUUGAUUCAUAUGCUAUUGGAAAAAUAUGCUUUGGUUCCAUCUGAUUUUGAACUAUCAAUCAAAUGGCAUGAUGUAUUUAUAGGCAGCAAAUUAUCACGGAAAUGUGCUCCCUGUUCACUUGAAGGAGCCACCGGGUUUCAAGUAUUGAGACCGGGUGCGGGAUGUCUGAACUUGGUAGCCAUAUAGAUUUGAUUGUCAUUUAAAAAUCACAUGCCCAAAAUGUGGAGUAAAACUGAUGAGACCAAAUAGAGAUUUUCAGAAAGAGAUCAGCAUAAGACAUUCUCCUUUUUCCCUUUAUUUUUGAAUCCAAUGCUUGUUUGAUAGUCAUUGUUCAGAUCAAUGCUGUAGACUCUUCAACUUUGCACAACUGUGUAAGUCAUCAAAUUGUCUCUUCUUUCUUGAA